CACCGCGGUUAUACGAGAGACCCAAGUUGACAGACACCGGCGUAAAGAGUGGUCAAGGACAUAACCAACUAAAGCCGAAUCUCCCCCUGGCUGUUAUACGCUCCCGGAGGAACGAAGCCCUACUACGAAAGUGGCUUUACCCCUACCUGAACCCACGACAGCUAAGAAA
rnacentral:rRNA from 1 species